GGAAUUUAAAAGUUAGUGGUUAGAAUGCGGAAAUUAAAGAAUUAGACGUUAAUUGUUAGAUGUUAGAGGUAAAACUUAAAAGUUACUUGUUAGAAAUGAGAACAAAGUAGAUUAAUAUUUCAAGAAAGCAAUUAACAAAAAUAUCAAUUUUAAAAUAUUAACCAAAUAUCAAUCCAAACAAUUACCAAUUCUAAACAAAUGUCAGAAAUUAAUUCCUAAACAAAAUUAUCAAUUAAAUCUCUACACAAAAUUAUCUAAUUAUUUCGUAAAGUAUUUAUCAAAAUUAAUUUCUAAACAAUGACUAUCCUAGUUAUUAUUAACUGUUAUUCUUAACUAAUCCUAAUAACCAAUUAGCUUCUAAAAUCAUCUAUUAAUCUAAUUACCUAAACCUAAACUAACAACAAUAAUGUGAAAAGAUUCACAAAUGCAGAACGGGUCUGGAACGUCAAUUGGCGGCCCAAAGUACGCACAACAAGGGACAAAAGGUCCUUAACAC
rnacentral:lncRNA from 1 species